rnacentral:rRNA from 1 species
AGCCCAGAGCCUGAAUCAGUGUGUGUGUUAGUGGAAGCGUCUGGAAAGGCGCGCGAUACAGGGUGACAGCCCCGUACACAAAAAUGCACAUGCUGUGAGCUCGAUGAGUAGGGCGGGACACGUGGUAUCCUGUCUGAAUAUGGGGGGACCAUCCUCCAAGGCUAAAUACUCCUGACUGACCGAUAGUGAACCAGUACCGUGAGGGAAAGGCGAAAAGAACCCCGGCGAGGGGAGUGAAAAAGAACCUGAAACCGUGUACGUACAAGCAGUGGGAGCCUCUUUAUGGGGUGACUGCGUACCUUUUGUAUAAUGGGUCAGCGACUUAUAUUCUGUAGCAAGGUUAACCGAAUAGGGGAGCCGAAGGGAAACCGAGUCUUAACUGGGCGUUAAGUUGCAGGGUAUAGACCCGAAACCCGGUGAUCUAGCCAUGGGCAGGUUGAAGGUUGGGUAACACUAACUGGAGGACCGAACCGACUAAUGUUGAAAAAUUAGCGGAUGACUUGUGGCUGGGGGUGAAAGGCCAAUCAAACCGGGAGAUAGCUGGUUCUCCCCGAAAGCUAUUUAGGUAGCGCCUCGUGAAUUCAUCUCCGGGGGUAGAGCACUGUUUCGGCAAGGGGGUCAUCCCGACUUACCAACCCGAUGCAAACUGCGAAUACCGGAGAAUGUUAUCACGGGAGACACACGGCGGGUGCUAACGUCCGUCGUGAAGAGGGAAACAACCCAGACCGCCAGCUAAGGUCCCAAAGUCAUGGUUAAGUGGGAAACGAUGUGGGAAGGCCCAGACAGCCAGGAUGUUGGCUUAGAAGCAGCCAUCAUUUAAAGAAAGCGUAAUAGCUCACUGGUCGAGUCGGCCUGCGCGGAAGAUGUAACGGGGCUAAACCAUGCACCGAAGCUGCGGCAGCGACGCUUAUGCGUUGUUGGGUAGGGGAGCGUUCUGUAAGCCUGCGAAGGUGUGCUGUGAGGCAUGCUGGAGGUAUCAGAAGUGCGAAUGCUGACAUAAGUAACGAUAAAGCGGGUGAAAAGCCCGCUCGCCGGAAGACCAAGGGUUCCUGUCCAACGUUAAUCGGGGCAGGGUGAGUCGACCCCUAAGGCGAGGCCGAAAGGCGUAGUCGAUGGGAAACAGGUUAAUAUUCCUGUACUUGGUGUUACUGCGAAGGGGGGACGGAGAAGGCUAUGUUGGCCGGGCGACGGUUGUCCCGGUUUAAGCGUGUAGGCUGGUUUUCCAGGCAAAUCCGGAAAAUCAAGGCUGAGGCGUGAUGACGAGGCACUACGGUGCUGAAGCAACAAAUGCCCUGCUUCCAGGAAAAGCCUCUAAGCAUCAGGUAACAUCAAAUCGUACCCCAAACCGACACAGGUGGUCAGGUAGAGAAUACCAAGGCGCUUGAGAGAACUCGGGUGAAGGAACUAGGCAAAAUGGUGCCGUAACUUCGGGAGAAGGCACGCUGAUA